rnacentral:rRNA from 1 species
UAGGGAAUCUUCCACAAUGGACGCAAGUCUGAUGGAGCAACGCCGCGUGAGUGAAGAAGGUUUUCGGAUCGUAAAGCUCUGUUGUUGGUGAAGAAGGAUAGAGGCAGUAACUGGUCUUUAUUUGACGGUAAUCAACCAGAAAGUCACGGCUAACUACGUGCCAGCAGCCGCGGUAAUACGUAGGUGGCAAGCGUUGUCCGGAUUUAUUGGGCGUAAAGCGAGCGCAGGCGGAAUGAUAAGUCUGAUGUGAAAGCCCACGGCUCAACCGUGGAACUGCAUCGGAAACUGUCAUUCUUGAGUGCAGAAGAGGAGAGUGGAAUUCCAUGUGUAGCGGUGGAAUGCGUAGAUAUAUGGAAGAACACCAGUAGCGAAGGCGGCUCUCUGGUCUGCAACUGACGCUGAGGCUCGAAAGCAUGGGUAGCGAACAGG